CAUGUCCUUAAGAUAAAAAUUUAAGGUUUAAUCUGUCCGGUGAUAAAUUAAACGACCGCAGUAUAUUGACUGUGCAAAGGUAGCGUGAUAAUUAGUUUCUUAAUUAGGAACUGGUAUGAAUGAUUGAACGAAAGAAUCUCUGUCUCUUAAGAUUUAUUUGAAUUUAAUUUUUAAGUUAAAAAUCUUAGAUUUUGUUAAAGGACGAGAAGACCCUAUAGAGUUUUAUUUUAUUUGAAUUAAUAAUUUUUUGGUAUUUUAAAAUUUUAAUUUAUAAUAAUUUUUGAUUGGGGAGAUUUAAAGAUUAAGCUAACUCUUUAUUUGAUUACAAAGAUUUUUGAAUAAUUGAUCCAUUUUGAUGAUUUAAAGAUUAAAUUACCUUAGGGAUAACAGCGUAAU
rnacentral:rRNA from 1 species